GACCACGUAGCUCAGUUGCAUAUGACAGAGCAUUGGGCUAGUAUCUCAAAGGUCGCGGGUUCGAUUCCCUCAUUUCCGCCGUGGCC
rnacentral:tRNA from 1 species